CAAGGCGCUGCGCCGCCUCCGCCCGGGGUGUCUGAGCAGCUGCGCCCGCCGCCGUGUCCACCCAGACCCGGGAUCAGGUUGGCGGUUCUCAACGAUGGGCAGGAGGGACCUUGGCGGUGACCCCUAAAACAAUACCAUGCCCCGGGAGCCCCGCUGCUGCCGCGCCAGCUUCUUCCCUUUCCACCUCCCCGACCCGGUCGGAUUCGGAUGAACGCACUGCGAGGAGACACGGCGGCCUCCAGAUUGCAGAUUGAGCUUAACCAAGAAGUUCAGAGUCUCAUCAACGCUGACCUGAUCUCCAGCACGAGAAGGGAGUUCUAGUUCUGCCUGCCUCGUUGGGUCCCUGUUGACCGCUGAUAACUUGGCUUCACUCAUCGCCUGUGUGGAAAAUUCUCCCUAUUGAAAUUAUUAUUAUUAUUAUUGUUAUUAUUAUUAUUAUUAUUGUUAUUUUUGCACAUGGAGGACGGUAACAAAGAAGGCAACACAGGCUGAUAAGACCAGAGACCACAGGAGAAUUCUUUAACCGCAGGCCUUCGAGACUUUUCCUCCACUUGGAGUUCUGGACUUUAACAGAACCCCGUCUAGUCAUUUUGGUUUUGCUAUAUAUAUAUAUAUUUUUUUUCUUCCUUUUUACUUUCCCCACCACCUUGUAU
rnacentral:lncRNA from 12 species